CUUAUUACGAUGAAGUGUAUACAGUACUGAGAGGUAUUCAUGCUUGCGCUAAUACGCAUGCGAGUUUGUCCCACGAUUAUUUCUGGGUUACAAGUAUUGCGUACUUUGCGAGAUUCUUCGUUGCUCGUGUAAAUAAAAACAGAAUAUUAUCAGUAGUUCGAAUUUCGAAGCGGUGAGAGCGACUGAGUCAUUUGAAUAGAAGAUCGAGCUGAGAGAGCACGGUGAAUCGCAACGACCUCUCGGUAUCAUAUACGUGGCUGCUUUUAUUUACAUUGUAUCGCCAAGAGUCGUAUAGUUGUUCUAGAUCGUUUUAGCCAACUAUUACAGAUGCCAUAUAUUCUAGUACGUGGUAACCUAGCAUCAUAUGGUCAUAAAUAUCCUUGGAGGGUUCUAGUAUCAGGGCUUAAAGCGACUGACAUAGAACAGCUGAGUCGCUUCUCCUCUGGAGGAUAUUGCGACGACUCAACAAUAGUAUAUUUGCAACAUCCUUGUGUAAUAUUGACUGCUUUAGAGGUACUCGGUUACAAAGUCGUCGCGUCUUCCAGCACAAGUGUUAAACAGGAUUAUAAUGAGUACAUGUGGACCAUGAGAAAAGAUUUUUCAGAGCCAGAACCUGGCCCUGUUAUAAAAGCUGUACUGGACGGAGCAUUGUGCCGAAAUCGUACUGACAGACGUAGAAAGAGACAAGACGAUGUGUGGGUAGGAGUGGUUUAUGGAGCAACGGGACCACGAGGUCUUUCAACACAAAAAAUCAAAGAAGUCUUGCCGAAUGCUCCGUCCAGUACUACGUCCAGUACUAUAUGUCGAUGUUUCCAUGCACUAUGGUAAAAAAAGAAAAAUUACGGGGAAUUACGGUGAGUCCAAUAAAGUGCUCUGAAAAAUUUAUUUGUUCGAUAAGCUUGUUUUUCGUCGAAGAGCAAGAAUUUCCAAGCUGCGUAUAUAUCUUGACCAGAAUAACUCGGAAUGUGUCGUUCGCGCCUUUGCGUCCAUUCUAAUGAUGAAAGUUCAAGGGUCGAAGAGGUAAAUUUUAUUUUGGAAGUUUACUGAGAUCACAUGCAUCUAAUGAACGAGUCGAGGAAUACUUCGAUCAAAUACUUCACACGCCACGUUGAAGACAUCUCGCGUGAGCACGCUUUAAACUUUCCCGAAAUUUCCCCGAUAGUUAGAAGUAAAACGCAACCAGGUAUAACAAUACUUUUAGCGCGACAAUGGCAAAGACAACGAGCAACGUCACGUCCAAAAAGCUGGACGUCGUCGACGACGACGACGAGAUUUUCUAUUACGUCGGUGUAAGAGCGUCACCAUUCGCGACCGAUUGCGCGGUGUUCGGUCUGUCGUCGGGCGAGCAGGCGGC